rnacentral:rRNA from 1 species
UACGAAGGGGGCUAGCGUUGUUCGGAAUCACUGGGCGUAAAGCGCACGUAGGCGGAUCUUUAAGUCAGGGGUGAAAUCCCGAGGCUCAACCUCGGAACUGCCUUUGAUACUGGGGAUCUCGAGUCCGGGAGAGGUGAGUGGAACUGCGAGUGUAGAGGUGAAAUUCGUAGAUAUUCGCAAGAACACCAGUGGCGAAGGCGGCUCACUGGAUCGGUACUGACGCUGAGGUGCGAAAGCGUGGGGAGCAAACAGG